GAUGGAGCUAGGGAUAUAGCUCAGUUGGUAGAGUGCUUGCCUUGUAUGCACAAGGCCCUGGGUUCAAUUCCCAGCACCAUCA